AAGUUAAUUCCUAUAUAGUAAAUAAGAAAUAUAAGUAAAGAAUACAAUGAUACUACAUAUUUCAGAAUGGUCUUAACUAAAAUUUAAAUAAAAAAAUGUACCUCUUCGUUAGCUUCCUUCUCGCUAAACGUUGCACAAACUCUAGAGUAUGAUGAAAAAGUAAAAUUUUCUACACAUAAUAGAAAAAAAUUAACAAUAAAAGGAGUCGUGCGUGAGUUUGUGG
rnacentral:sRNA from 1 species